rnacentral:rRNA from 1 species
UCCUACGGGAGGCAGCAGUGGGGAAUAUUGCACAAUGGGGGAAACCCUGAUGCAGCGACGCCGCGUGAGUGAAGAAGUAUCUCGGUACGUAAAGCUCUAUCAGCAGGGAAGAAAAAAAGUCUUUGGCUUUGGACGGUACCUGACUAAGAAGCCCCGGCUAACUACGUGCCAGCAGCCGCGGUAAUACGUAGGGGGCAAGCGUUAUCCGGAUUUACUGGGGGUAAAGGGAGCGUAGACGGCAGCGCAAGUCUGGAGUGAAAUGCCGGGGCUCAACCCCGGAACGGCUUUGGAAACUGUGCAGCUAG